UGCUGGCGUCUCGCGAGACGACCGGAGCCGCUUGGCAGGACGACGACCAACUCGUGCGCAUUAGGGUCGCCAGCCGCAAACACGAAGCGACGUUUUCUUGAGCGACGUGACGAUCCUGGCGCCUGUUCUUGUUUUUUCUUUACUCUCUGUUCUGACGCUCACCGAUGCAAAAGUGGACUGAGCGAGAGAAGAGAUGUACAUGAGCCGCUUCUCCGUGAUACGUAUAUAAGAGUGGACUGGCCCCCGAGUGAGCUUCAAUUCAAGAUUGGUCCAGGUACGUGCAGUCUCUUUCUUGAAUUUGGUGGCCUUCGGACUGGACAUUGGCAAUCUGCAUUGAGACCUCACUAUGACUUACGGGAAGAGAACACAAGCUGCUUUCCUGACAUGUACGGCAGUACUGUUGCUAUCGACAGGCAGAGCCACGGUGGCGGCUACUUUUCCAAGCGGCUACUUCUACCCACGGGCUUACCUCAGCAGUCCCGCUCAGCAGACGGCGAGUCCUAGCACACAGCACCAGUUCUAUGCUGCCAGCAGCCCCAUCGCUGCCAGCGGUAGCAGUAAAAGUGGCACGACGUACGUGAUACGCUCGCUCCGAGAAGGAGAGAUUAUCAAGCCCGAGCAAACAACCAUGUCAGGUGGAUUCGAUGGAUACGCGAGCAGCCCGGUGCUGUCAGCAGCAUUCCCAAACUAUGAACGAAACUUCAACUUCGUUAGGCCUUAUCUCUCAGGGCCAGUGAUGGCACCAUGGCAGUACAUUCACUGAGUCAUCGAAGUAUCACGGAUCAAGUAGCAGGAUGAAAGUAGUAAGGACCAAAAAAGAAAACAAGCAAAAUUUUUAUUUACAAAAUGAGUGCGAAUUUUUAAUUCAGAAGAGAAAAAGGAAAGACUGUGACUCAAGAGGAACCGAACAAGAGUACCCACAGCGUCUCGUGAUAAAGAUGCUUCAUCAAAACAAAUCUGUGAAGUUUGCGAGACUAUAUUGCCACAUCUGCCGGGUUCCAAGAGUGCCUGAAAACGACGUGUGCUUUCCCAUUUUAUUUUCCCAUCGUUUUUGUUUUUUCAGCCAGAUGUGUUUCUCAAUAAAACAAUACUGCUGGAAUAUUCCCGGCAGCAGGCUACAAAA